AGUAAUGUAUGGGGAUCUGCCUGAUGGCGGGGGGUAACUACUGGAAACGGUAGCUAAUACCGCAUAAUGUCUGCGGACCAAAGCGGGGGACCUCCGGGCCUCGCGCCAUCAGAUGAACCCAUAUGGGAUUAGCUAGUAGGUAAGGUAACGGCUUACCUAGGCGACGAUCCCUAGCUGGUCUGAGAGGAUGAUCAGCCACACUGGGACUGAGACACGGCCCAG
rnacentral:rRNA from 1 species